GGACAAUAUCAGCCCUCCACAGGCACUCAAGGCCUGUGGCUAACCUCUGUCCAACCUCACCGGAAGCUCUUCAUCCACGACCUUCCCCCCACCCCUCCCUCGUAUCGGUCCCUGUCACAAAGACUUCACACCUCCAGGCCCUCACCCCUCUCGCUCGCAGUUCUCAGAUAACUACCUCCUCAGAGAAGCCUCUCCUGACCCUCCUGAUCGAAAUCGGUGACCCCACACCCCCACCCGCCUUCCCUCCACGGCCCCUGAACAUUUCCACCGUGAGACUCACCUCGACCAGAAUGAUUUGGUCAGCCUAUCGGCUUCCUUAUUUAUAGUCCGUCCCCCCCGCUAGAAGGAGAGCCCGCGUGGACACGGAGGCUGUCCGUCUUACUCACAGCUGUAUCCUUAGGACUUCAACAGCUCUGGUGCCCAGCAGGAGACUUGUCAGUGGAGUGUAUGAAUGGAGUGUAUGGAGCCGGACGGUGGAAUCCACGCAUGAAGACAAAGUCCGGCACAUCGUGGGGGCAAAGAGGGGGAACCUAGCGCCUGCCAGAUCCUGUGGGCGUUCUGCACAUAGCAGGGCAGAUACAUCCUGUGUUCGCACCACGGAAGCCACAGCCAGAAAAGCAAACCCCAACUAUCCAGCCCAAAGCCUUUUAGAUGGUAACCCACUUCAAAGGCGCCAAGCCAAAGAAACCACCCCCAGAGUAUGUGUUGCCUCCCUUUAAGGAGGGAGAGAUCCUUCUGGACUUCAUCGAGUUUCCCUUUUGGAAGGGGCUGCUAGGGAGCUCAGAGACACCUUGGAGCCUCGACCACAGGUUUUCCUCCUGCAGUGUGAGUGUCCGUUAUGCAAACUGGAUAUAACCCAGUGGAUAAUUCAUGGUAUACAAUUGGCUCCCCAGAGUCCCCUGGGGAACCAAAGGGGCCAUUAGGUGAAAGGCUUUGAAGUUGUAACAUUUGCUUUGAGACUUUAUCAUAACACUGGCUGGAAAAGAGGAUAAAGGAGAUAAAAAAAAAAAACAUCUGUAAGAUGUUUAGUACUAAAGUCAGAGCUGGUGGC